AUACGGAGGGUGCAAGUGUUGUUCGGAAUCACUGGGCGUAAAGGGCGCGCAGGCGGUUUGGUAAGUCAGAUGUGAAAGCCCAUGGCUCAACCAUGGAAGUGCAUUUGAAACUGUCAGACUUGAGUACUAGAGGGGAAAGUGGAAUUCCCGGUGUAGAGGUGAAAUUCGUAGAUAUCGGGAGGAAUACCGGUGGCGAAGGCGACUUUCUGGCUAGAUACUGACGCUGAGGCGCGAAAGCGUGGGGAGCAAACAGGAUUAGAAACCCCAGUAGUCC
rnacentral:rRNA from 1 species